UACGUAGGCAGCGAGCGUUGUUCGGAGUUACUGGGCGUAAAGGGUGUGUAGGCGGUUGUUUAAGUUUGGUGUGAAAUCUCCCGGCUUAACCGGGAGGGUGCGCCGAAUACUGAAUGACUAGAGUGCGGGAGAGGUGAGUGGAAUUCCUGGUGUAGCGGUGAAAUGCGUAGAUAUCGGGAGGAACACCAGUGGCGAAGGCGACUACCUGGCCUGUUCUUGACGCUGAGGCGCGAAAGCUAGGGGAGCAAACGGG
rnacentral:rRNA from 1 species